UUUGGUUAUGGCCAGAGCCACGGGGGCCUCACCUUACCACCCACUGCCCCAGUGGGGAAGGGUGAAGCCCAGGCCCCUACAUUC